rnacentral:rRNA from 1 species
GACGAACGCUGGCGGCGUGCUUAACACAUGCAAGUCGAACGGAAAGGCCCUGCUUGCAGGGUACUCGAGUGGCGAACGGGUGAGUAACACGUGGGUGAUCGGCCCUGCACUUCGGGAUAAGCCUGGGAAACUGGGUCUAAUACCGGAUAGGAGCCAUUUUUAGUGUGAUGGUUGGAAAGUUUUUUCGGUGUAGGAUGAGCUCGCGGCCUAUCAGCUUGUUGGUGGGGUAAUGGCCUACCAAGGCGGCGACGGGUAGCCGGCCUGAGAGGGUGGACGGCCACAUUGGGACUGAGAUACGGCCCAGACUCCUACGGGAGGCAGCAGUGGGGAAUAUUGCACAAUGGGCGCAAGCCUGAUGCAGCGACGCCGCGUGGGGGAUGACGGCCUUCGGGUUGUAAACUCCUUUCGCUAGGGACGAAGCUUUUUGUGACGGUACCUAGAGAAGAAGCACCGGCUAACUACGUG